AUCCUUUUGUAGUUCAAAAGCGUGAUGACAGGGUGUUCACGCACCUGUGUCAGAUGUGCCUCCCACAAACUUUUACCUAUCUGAAG
ensembl:snoRNA